GGCAUUUGAGCUGAAGAAAGGAGAGCUGCUUUUCAUCUCUGAGGCUGGAAUUAAAAUCCAGAUUGAUGGUAGGUGAUGGGAGCAUGUGGGUUCAUGUGCAAAGCUGGUACCUCCUCCUCUUGUGACACAUCAGUAGAGAUUUUGUGGCAAUGUGAGCACGUGUUGUGCUGCUUUGGGGUCGGUGCAUGCGAAUGGGCACCGUUCUGCUUGGGGGUUAGAGAGACAGCGGCUUGAUUUCAAUAAUUAAAAAAACCUCGGGAGAUGGCUUGAAGAACUUUCUAUCGAAAUUGCUGCGUCCCACAGGUACCGAUGCCUGCGUGUUCCUGGCAGGAACCGAUGGACAGGGGUGCAAGCUAUUGCUCGAGGGACUGGGGAGAGUGCAGCGUGUAUCAGCCAGAAUAGGGGUAUUGGCUUGUGCUGCUUCAAAAAUAGCAGGUUUGAAACCAUUUGCUGGAAAGCUGGGCUUUGGGGAGCGGGGGGAGACAGUCAUGGGACCCAGCACAAAAAGUGAAGACGUUUAUUAUCCCUCAUUUUAGGGUGAGGUUUCUGUCUUGUGUGCCAGGGAGACAGAGGCACUUACUCAACAAGUGACACUGGGAGCCGCUCCUCUGGAUGCCAUCGGACAGAGCUGGCUUUGUGUCUGGAAACCACCAGGAUCUCUCCUGGCAACUUGAGCAAAACCUACAAAGAAGAGGAGAUGAGAGCCAAGUGGGCAGCUUCCUAAAUGUGCAGCCUGCAGGGGCUGGGACGUGAAAAUCAUACCAAAAUCCAUAGCUGCGUGCACCCUGUGGUCUGGACGGGGAAUGAGAUGUGACGCUUCUCAGCAUGCCACCAAGGCAAGUGUCGAAGCUGGCUGUGGUCCCCUGGUGCCCUCAAAGUGAUGCUCCCCCUGUGCUAGAUCUCCUCCAGGAGCUGUGUAGGUGGCUCAGGAGAUGCACCCCACUUUGCAGGGACCUUGUGUUGUCUCCUUCCCUCCCACCCCUUCCCCAAGCAAAUUUUAUAGGUACGAGCGCUGAGCACAUGGCUUGGCUUCUCAUGCCUUGGAGACGAGUCCACAACACCUUCAGGACCAAAUGUCGUUUGUAGCUGCAGGGUAUUGGGUUUCUUGUACAGGAGAACUGCUUAGAAAAUACUCCAGCUUGCUGCCUGCCAUUUGUAGGUAGACCAAUGUGAUGAGAGAAGGAUUUUUUCUUAUCCGUUUGGCCAUGGACCUCCUGGUCCAGCCAUAGAAGUGGACUUCCGCGCUGAAGCUGCUCUCUCAUCACAGUGAUGCUUGUUAUCAUGGUUGCAAUGUGGAAGAACCUCAAGAGAAGUUAACCCUGCGAAAAUUUGGCCAGCCUGAGAUUUUCUGGUGCCUCGUCUGAACUUUGGGCAAGCCCAAAACUGGUGGAUGUUGGCUCUCAGUGAAAGGAUGAGGACCUCUGCUGUGUCUUGAGAGUGUCAUGAAUGUCACUGUUGGUGAUUAAGA